rnacentral:rRNA from 1 species
GAUGAACGCUGGCGGCGUGCCUAACACAUGCAAGUCGAGCGAUUUACUUCGGUAAAGAGCGGCGGACGGGUGAGUAACGCGUGGGUAACCUGCCCUGUACACAUGGAUAACAUACCGAACGGUAUGCUAAUACGAGGUAAUAUGCUUUUAUCGCAUGGUAGAAGUAUCAAAGCUUUUGCGGUACAGGAUGGACCCGCGUCUGAUUAGCUAGUUGGUAAGGUAACGGCUUACCAAGGCGACGAUCAGUAGCCGACCUGAGAGGGUGAUCGGCCACAAUGGAACUGAGACACGGUCCAAACUCCUACGGGAGGCAGCAGUGGGGAAUAUUGCACAAUGGGCGAAAGCCUGAUGCAGCAACGCCGCGUGAGCAAUGAAGGCCUUCGGGUCGUAAAGCUCUGUCCUCAAGGAAGAUAAUGACGGUACUUGAGGGGGAAGCCCCGGCUAACUACGUGCCAGCAGCCGCAGUAAUAC